AAAGACGGAUACGCAACCGCUUUGCAGUCUUCUAGGCAUGUAAAGAGGAAAGUCCGAACUUUAACCUUAGGGAUUAUCCUUAAGGUAAACGGUAGCAGGCAAUCCCUGUCGCUCGUAAGGGUAGAGGUGCGAACAGAGACGCUUUUCUUAGAAAUAAGAGAAGUAUCCUUGUAAAAGGAUAAGUUUUCGCGGAAACGCGGAAGGUGAAACGGCAAAAUCCUUACCGGAAAGCAAGGCUGAAGUAUAGCCGCUUGACUGUUAAAAGUGAUUUUAACAGCAGAGAAAUGGUUGCGCUUUCAAGUUUUGAAAGACAGAAUUCGGUGUAUAAUUCGUCUUUAUAA
rnacentral:RNase_P_RNA from 1 species